rnacentral:rRNA from 1 species
AUGCGUAUGUUGAGAUGGAUGUGUGGCCACACGAGGAAGGAUCGAGUCCGGAAUAAUGAUAUACGAGAUAGAGUUGGGGUAGCACCAAUUAAGGAGAAGCUUGUCCAACAUCGUCUGAGAUGGUUUGGGCAUAUUCAACGCAGGCCUCCAGAAGCUCCAGUGCAUAGCGGAUGGCUAAAUCGUGCGGAGAAUGUCAAGAGAGGGCGGGGUCGACCGAAUUUGACAUGGGAGGAGUCCGUUAAGAGAGACCUGAAGGAUUGGAGUAUCGACAAAGGGCUAGCUAUGGACAGGGGUGCGUGGAAGCUUGCUAUCCAUGUGCCAGAGCCAUGA